AAGAUCUAAACAACAUGUGUUUGAUUUUGUUCAAGAUCAUGGUUAGAAAAAGUUUAAGGGUUGAAAGGAGAAAUUUCUUUCUUUAGUAGAACAUGAGGUACUCAUUAAUAGGUCGUUCAAUCCAACCUCGUGUGUAUCACAAGUUAUUUUUUGUUGUCUACAUGUCUAUAUGACCAUAUUGAGUAUCUGAUUAAACAAUUUGGUGGAGCUACAAUUACGAGAAGAAAAAAAAUAUCAAUGGCUUAAUUGGGACCAAUAUUGUCAGCUAAAAAGUAAAUGAUGUAUGAGCUUUAGAAGGUUUAAAGCAUUUCAUAUUGUUUUGCUUACUAAACAAAGAUGGCAUUUCCAAUCCAGAAUCUCACUUAACUAAGUAUUUAAAAGUCAGAUAUUUUCCUCAUGGGGGUUCUUAAAUCUUGUCUAAGUCACCUACCUAAUUAUACGUGGUGGAUCAUUCGUGAAAAUUUUUGGAUUAUCAAAAAGAAUAUGUCUUUGGAGAGUGGCAAUUGGUCACUUCAUUAACAUUUGGAAAAACAAGGCUACCUUUGGAUAGUGAUUGUAAGAUUUGAUCCCUUAGGUCAUCCUAGUAUGAGUUGUCUCAAAUAUCUCAUCUAAUUUUAUAAGACCUCAAUAUUUGGAAUGCACAGUUAGUAAAUAAAUGAUACUUUUAUCUUUUGAAGUUAUACAAAUCCUCCAAUUACCCAUCAUUUCCUUAACCUAGAUAGAUCAUCUCUCUUAAGGACCAAAUAAGAAAGGAUUUUGUAGGUCAAAUAUUCAAAGGUACUGUAGCACUAGUGCGUGAUUGAUUUAUCUUGAGUAGAAUUGAAGAUCUUUGAUUGUCGAGUUGGAUUUGAGAGGUUGGAUGACAUGUGCAGAUUGCAAAGACAAGGAAAUUAUUUGGGUCUUUUCUCUUUCAUUGUCAUUUUAUGAUUUGUCCAUUGCCUAAAGAGAAACUCUCCACCCUAAGUCUAAUUGGGGCUAAUGUUCACCACCUACCUCCACCAUCCAUUUUGUUAUUAUUUCUUCUCAUUCUUCCAUAGCCGAACUAGAGCAAUAUUUUGUAUCUUUGAUUGAAGUAUUAUUGGUUGACAAAUCAUUAGUUCUCUUUGGUGAUUCAACUUAGCUUGUUUCUAUUUCACUUCUUUUAAGUUAUAAUGGAUGUAUACAUUUGUUUCUUAGGUAUGGUUACUGUCUUUCACUAUGAGCUAAAAUGUUUGUAUUGGAUUAUGUGAAAAAUGAUGUUAGUUAGUUAUGUUUAAAAUGAUGGGUAUUUGUAUUUAGCA